GAUCUUCCUCAGAAGAAUAGGCUUGUUGCUUUACAGUGUUAGUGACCCAUUCCCUUUGACGAUUCCCUGGGUGGAGAUGGGGCAUGAGGAUCCUCCAGGGGAAAAGCUCACUACCACUGGGCAACAACCCUAGGCCAGGAGGCUCUACCAAGAUUCUUAUCUGGGCCCAGAUAGGAAGAUUGAAGCGUCAAGACAAACACCACACAUCAGAGGAGAACACCAACAAAACUGCCACAUCUGUGACAUUGAUCAUGGACAGGUCAUCAUUCUGGACCCUCUGAACCUCAACAUCUCCCUUGAGGCCCUGUUGGAGAACUUCACCAAUUAUUUACAUACUUCAAAUGCCUUGGGAUAGCUGUGGGACAAAACAAAAAACAACCUGUUUGAGAAGAUAAAACAGAGCUGUAUUUUUUUAUGCUGUGCUUACUAAUUGACAGAAGCCUUCCAACUACGAAUGGGAACCUGAGUGGAGAUGGCACAGAGUUAUCAUCAGGCUCAAUCUAAAGAAACAGCACCCUGCGUACUCUAGCUCCUGAUUAGUCCCUUCAUGUCUGCCAAGUCAGUAUCCUUCCCAGAAGCAGUGCAGAGAGCAAGAAACUUGAACACACCAAAGGAGAUCAACAUGCCUGGCACUCUAGCAUUUUAGAAUAGCAGAAUGAAUGUGUAUUUCUCUGCUUGUCUAUUUCUUGCUUGAAUGUCUUUGGUCUUUCUUGUCUAACUAAAGUGUGUCUUACCCAUUUCCAUCAUUCUCUCGCUGGUUGCUUCUCUGUGUAUCUUUUUCUUAUUUUCUUUUUUGUUCUUAAGUGGUCUGUGUCUUGUCUUAGAUGUCUCUCUCUACUUCUAGUUUUCAUUUUGUUACUGAUUCUCCUUGCUUUCCUGGAUCUGGCCCUUCUUUUGUUCUUCCCUUUGUGUCUCUUGAGUCAUGUGCCGUGUGCCUUUUUCUUAUUUCUUGUUAUGCUUUUUUCUCUUCUUUUUCUCUCUGUGAACUGUAAUUGUUCGUCACCCCCUCCCCUUCUUGUUGGUUUCACAUUUCACCUUUUCUAAUACUGGCCACCCUUUGGCUGUUUCUACUCCUUAUCUCACCUUUCUCUUUUCUACAUAUUCUUACUGCCUCUCUUGGGCCAUUUUCUUUCUUUUUUUUCCUGCUCUGUGUGCCCCAGUGUUUCUUUGCUCUUUGUGAUUUUCCAUUUCAGCAUUAAUCUCUUUGUUCUCUUGUUUCUUCUCUGCUUUUCCCUUUCUACUCACCUCUGAGUGUUUCAACCUCUUCUUGAGUCUGUGUCUCCCCGUCUUUGAUUUCAUUCAGUCCUCUCUCCUUGCAUAAUUUUUGUGCAUUUGUGUCUGUGCUCUUGUGUGUGUGUUUGUAAAGAAGGGGGCUUCCUGACCCCUUCCCAAUAGGUGCAGAGUGUCAGCCAUCAAAAUAAGCAUGGCAGAGCUGUUCUUCAUGCCACACUGCCUCAUGAGAUGAUCCAAGACCAAAAGAAAGCCCAAGGGUUUUGACUGGAGUUGUAAGGAAGACUCAAAUCUCGAGUGAGACAGAAGGCCAAAGACCCAGGACGGGAUUAAAAAGCCUUAGCUUGCAGCCCUAUGACGCAACGGAUGGAAGGCCCCAGGCUCACAUAAGGAUCCAGGACUCAAGCCUGUCUGUAUGGACAGAAGGCCUGAGAGAGAUAGAUAUCUCAAGACUAAAGUAGGUGGGAAGCUGGAGGCCCAUGACCCAGCAUCCAGGAAGGAUAGAAGCCCCAAGACCAAAGGAAAUUCCAAGAUGAGAACCUUAAACCCCAGUUCUACUCUACUCUUGGAUAUUUUUUAGUUCUCCCUUUCUUGUUCUCAUAUCUCCAUUUAAACCCACUUUCUUUGAGAUGUCUAUUUCCAAAAACAUAUCUUUAGAUUUGGAAUAUUAUGCCUGGCCAGUCUUAAGCCAGUUUUAUUACACUUUUCUGCCAUUUAUUCAGUUUUUGGUGUUUUUUAAAUUUUCAUUUCUCUUCACCUCCGCUCCAAUUGAAAGAGACACACAUAGGUUGGUUACAUUGUAUUUCAAUCCUCCAUUUUCCUCAGAAGCUCUAGGCUGAUGAGAAGAGGAAAGCAUCAGGCUGUUGGGGUGGGGGAAGUGCCAGGCUAUCUAGAGAAAAUGUGAAGAGAUGCUCCAGGCCAAUGAGAAGAAUUAGACAAGAAAUAAGCAGAUGUGCCAUCCUGCUGAGAAGCACCAGCCAGCAACACCUUACUUCUUUGAGCUUGGGUGAGCAGGAUUCCUGAGGUUUGGGAUUCCUAGUGAUGGUUAUGAAAAAAGAUGAUUAGGCCUGGGACAGAGUGAGCUCUGAGGAGAUAGUCUGAACUCCCUGCUCAUAGUAGUGGCCUAAUAAUUUGAUAAACUGCACCAGUCCUGCCCCUGGGUUUAAUACCCACGUCUAGGCUUAAAGGUGAGAAAACUUGGGAUUAUUCAGUAGGUUUAAUCCUUUCCUUGAUUUCUUUUCCCUUAUCAUAAUGGAAGAUAAUUUAAAUGAUUGAGAAUCUAUAUGAAAGUACUAUAAAACAAAAAAGCAAGGCAUUCUCAUUAAUAGUGUAUUGGCAUCCAUGUGCAGCUAAUAUUUAAAAAUUCACUGUCAGUUGUAAACCACUAUGUCAAUCAGUGUCACACCCUUUCUGUAAAGGGUCAGAUGGUAAAUAUUUUAGGCUUUGCAGGCCAUAUGGUCUCUGUUGCCUCUUUUAACAAUGCUUCAAAAAAGAAAAACUAUUCUUAGCUCAUGAACCAACUGAAUUUGGUCUAUGGACCACAGUAAUGCCAUAAUGUAAUUGCCAGGGACUGUGUGCUGAACAAUAUUAAUUUCCUUCUGUAUGCUCGUCCUUGUAUUAGGCAUUAAAGAUUCAGUGAUUAUUUAUGACCCUGUCCAGGUGAACUGAAGAAAAAUACAUGAAUGUGCUUUGUAAAGUAUAAAGCACUUAAUGACUUACAAGUUUUAGGGUUGAUGAAUGAAUAUUGAUUACAUAGUAUAUGCAUUCUACUCUGCUAGGCACUGUGGAUGCAAAAGCAUAAAAGAAGCAUGAAUAAAGUGCUUUGUCAAAAGCAUGUAAUGCUAUAAAGGUAUUAGGAAUUAAGUGUUUGAUAAACAAAUAAUUCAUGUGUUUGUGGCUAUAAUGUUUCUGUGGCUAUGGUGAUUUUGAGUAAAAAUAGAGUAUUUCAUGUAGCAGAAAAGGAAACAUAAAAACUACUUUUAAACUAUAAAAUAUACAGCAAACACAAGGGAUUAAGCUAAUGUGAUCACAUAUAAUGUGCCAGAUACCAUACUAGGCACUGCAGAUGUCAAAGGAAAAAAAGUUCUCAUUAUAGAAUUUAAAAAUUUAGAUAGGAAGUACAUAUUAAAGUGCUUUGUAAACUAAAGCACUUUAUAAAUACCAAUGGGCUAUAUGUUUCUGAAUGAAUUAAUAAAUAUUAAUUGCCUUAUAUGUGCCAGCUAUUGUUUUUCAGGUACUGUGAAAUCCAGGAUAAUGCUCUCUAGUAAUGAGGGAGGUUUAUGUCUUAUACUAUUCAGAUGUAAGGAAUUAGAUAUUGCUUAUUUUAAUCGAUCAAAAAUUUACUGGUGAUGCCAAAUUUAAUUAUUACCAGUAUAUUUCCCCAAGCAAUGAAUGUAUUUCCCAAGUAAUAAAUUUUCCCAAGGAAAAUAUAAUGAUUGAGAUUGAGCUUUUUAAACUGCAAAGUGCUAUAUAAAUUUAAGACAUUAGAUGUUUUCUGUGUGAAUAAAACUUAUGUGAGAUAGACAUUGUCUCUACAAAAUUCUCACUGUGUGUUUGACCCACUAUGAGAAAGGCAGUAUAAAUAGUUAUACAAACUGGAGGUUUAAAUACCUGUUAAAUGAAUGAAUUAUUAAUAUUAGUUGCCUACUAUGUGAACUCACUGUUAGAGGCACUAAAGAGAUACACAGAUUUAUCAUUUUAUUAUGCCUAUAGCUGAGAAUAAGGCAAUGCAUAUGUUAGCAUUAUGUGAAUUUUAAAACACCAUAUAAAUGUACCUAUUGAUUUUCUUAUUUGGUGUGCCUAGUACUAGGCUUACAAAAUUGUAUCACAGUUAAUUAUACUAUGAAAAAAAUCAGAAAAAAAUUUGAAGAAAAAUUGUUAACUAUUGAACACUUUGAAUAUGACAUGUAAAGGAUUAAAUGUCCAAUGAAUGGAAGACUGGUUAAUAAUCAUCUAUUAUGUGCCAAUUUCCUUGAUCGGCAUCAGGAAUAUGAAGAUAAUCCAUCUUUAUUGUGUUCUGGGUAGCAAAAAGUAAUAUAUAAAAUCAAUUUAAGUCUUAAACUGGCAUACAUAUAUAAGCCAUAGCUGCCAAAUGAACUUUGAUUACUUACUCUCUCUUAUCCCCAGAGAUAGCAAAUGGGGAUGCAAAAAUUCAUUGUCAUUAUUAUUGAACCUGCAACAAAGAUCUGUGUCUGAAUUUACAAAACCUACUGUUCUAUACAGACAUAAGGAAUUAACUGUUGGCUUAAUGAAUGAUUACUGAUUACUUUCUUAGAGGCCCAGAACUGUGCAUACCCUAGGCUAUAAAAAUGACUAUCCUUAUGAGAUGCUCACAGGAGGAAAUGAGGUAAUAGGUGUGGGAAUCCAGACUAAAAGUUACUUAACCACUGCCAAGCUUAUUUGAUGAUGAAAACAUGGAGAAAGUGGAAUUGUGCAAGGCAGCAUGCUGAAUGCUGAGCUAAGUGGGAAGAUAAAAUCCAGACCAGAAGGCUGCUUACUCCCUGGCCUGACCAAAGAAAUGGGAUUUUUUUUUUUUAAAGCAAGGUGUUGUGGUUCUCCAUCAGUCUCUUAAACGCUGAAUGCUAAAGAUGGAGGUGAAUGAGAUCCACCCUGGCCUGGCUUAGAGACAUUAAAGGAGUAAAAAUAAGUAGCUCAGGUUGACUUUUAUAUUAAUUUGAUAAACAGAGCAUCCUUUAUGUGGAAUACAACAUUCUCAGUCCUGAGUAUGCUCAGACAGAGAAAUGGGCCUAGUCUAAAGGACAUAGAUCACAGAUCAUAGCUGAAGGUCCAAAAUCAUCAUUGAUUUUUGAGUAAAUAUUUGAGUGCCUGUUCUCUGGAUGAAUUAGUUGUUAGGUCUGGUCCAGAAAACCUGUUGACUUACCUUGGAGAUUGAAAAAAUAGGAAAAAAAAGAUUCAGUUCUUCCAAUAUAAAGUGACAUUUUUCCUAGCUUUAGAAAGUCCCACUGUCACUUGCUCAUUAUCAAAAUUGAAGCCAGAAGGCUGAUAAAAGGACUCAGCCUUUGUCCUUAAUUCUUUAAUUUAACAUUCUGCUUUUAUUAUAAUUAAAUGGUUUAUGAAGAAAAUUAAGAUGAAACAACUAGUUUUAAAAGUAUUUGCUCAUUGGCCUGGCAUAAAGUCAGGAAGCCACUUAACAACAACAACAAAAAUCUUCCUAGAUGUUCCAUAUUUUACAAAAAAAAUCAUUCACUUUAAUGAAGUACUGUUCUUAAGUGCUGAGGAGAAUGAAGAGAUUUCAAAGACCUAGAUCAAAAUAUACUUUAAUCUCACUAGCUUAUGGAGGAAACACAACAACAAAUUUAAUAAGAGACCACAGUUCUUUCAUUAGUUGUAAAAACUUCAUUGAGCAGCUGUGAUACUAAGACUCUGAGAUGAAAUGAUUAAAUUGAUCACCUCUUUGGCAUGUUUGAUAGAGUAGAAAUAAGAAAGCUUUUUAUGUAUUCAUUCAUAUAAAUGUUGAAGAAGGUGAUGCUAAAUGAAAUAGAUCUGGUACAAAUGCAGUUAGUCUAUCUUAGAAAUAUAAUUUUAAAAAAAAACAAGAAAUGGAGUGAAACUCUUCAUUAUAAACAGAAGUGUGUAUUUUAAGACAUUGCAUUAAUUCCUAGACAAAAAACAAGGAUUUUGGCUGGAAGACACUCACUUGACUUGGAAACUAGCAAGUUAAUAUAAGAGGAGAGAUUACUGUUCAUUCAUGUUUUUCAUUUAUUCAUUCAUUCUACAAGUAUAUUUGACUGCCUGUUGUGUAUAAGCUCCUGAACUAGGUUCUCAGUUGGCCCCAGAGACAUGAAAAAAUGAAUGUCUUUCCAGAGAACUUCUAAAAUUUGCCUUUUGGCCUGUUUUCUGGCUAGAGACAUAGCUUAGUUCCUUAAUAAUAUUGUGUGGUUUAAUUCCUACUCUAUGUUUCUUCUCCCACUCUGGCCACUACCAUAAGCAGGGUUUUCUAAUGAGCUUGCUCCUUAAGUUGCAGGAACCCGUCUUAUAAUAAGCACUUCGUUUUCCUAACCUAUCCCUCAUGAAAAAUGGCUGUGACCAUUGGUGGGCAGAUGGAGGGAUGAGAAACAACUGAUUUCCAAAUCUCAGCCUCACUGGUGCCAGCCUUGGGGAACCACUUGUACUGAAGCCGCAAUUGGUUUUGAAACAUACCAGUUUUGUCUGUUUUCAGUUCUUUACCUUUUAUGUUCUGACAAAUAUAAACUGCCUAUAUAAAUCUCUUUAAAAAACAAUCUUCAGAUAGUACAUAGCAGGUUUGGAGAUGGAGACAUGAUUUCUUUUUUUGCAACAGUUUCUCAACUUACAACUUAGAGAGCAUCUCCUCACCAUCAAAAACCUGCUUAAGAAAGGACUUAUGUCAGUGAAUGAAAAAUGGCUUAACAAUUCUACCUUGCUCAAGUUUUAAGAAUAAUAAAAACUGGAAUUAAUUGGCAAAAAUUGGAGAAAAAAAACAAAAAAAUCUAAAUCUAGGCCCAAAUGGGCUUUGGCCUUUUCUAUUUUUAAAUCACUCACAGAGGGUGGGAUAGGAGGAAGAGUGAAAGAAAAGGUCAAACCUGGUUCUAAGGGCAGCCUGCCUUUGUACUGGAUUGGUCUUAAAAGCAUUACUACCUCCAGCUCUAAGUUUGGGAUUGCUGUUUUUAGUUUAAUGCAAUUUCAAUAACUGGUCAUUGCUGUUAUGAGGACAAAGCUGUUUGUCUCCACUCAUUUCUAUAAGUUUUUGAGAAAGAAUUUUUGGCUGAAUGGUAAGCCUUGGGUUAGAUAAUUAAGGAAUGUAUUAAAUCAAUGUGAUAGUUAAUAAAUCAUAAGGUGGUCUUAAAGCUAAUGUCAAAAUUCACUGCAAAGGAAGAGGACACUAUUGUUCACUGUAAUUCAUACAUACUCAAAGCAUCUAAACUUUAGUUUACAUGGCUUCCAACAAUGACAUCUGUAAUUUGAUAAGGAAAUAGAUGAAUGGUAAAGGAUAGCUGCUGGAGGGAGCAAAGUUGAAGAGGAUUUGAGAGUGAUGUUUCUAGUUUUUGCUUUGUACAUUUUGAUUUAGGCAUCAGGUACAUCUGACAUUAAUAUUUAGCAUUUGAUACAUGGUAUCAGCUCGAUUCAGUAACUCCCCUCUCUUCAGGUCGGGGUGGGGGUGCAUUAUUGGAAAAUGGAAAGGAGAAAGUAAUUAAAAGCCUUCCUUUCACAGUUUCUGGCAUCCCAAGACUAUCACUACUGAUAAAUAAGAAUACGAAAACAUGCUAUCAUCUGAUUUUUGUGGCAUAAAUGAAGUGGUGAACAAUACAUUCUUUUAAAGAGAAUGGCUUCAUCUCUACCCUUCUGCUUCAAAGGGACUCUAUGCCAAAAUGCUCCGAUGAAUGGAAGACACACUUGGAAUUGUGAACUGAUGUGAAACGCACAAUCUCUGAGCCUUGGGUGUUUUAAAGAAUGAAAAAUCUUGUUCAGCGUGGGUGACCACCAAAAAGCAAUCUAAAAGCAUCUAUAUGUCACAGCUGAGACAAGUUGGGGAGUUUGUUGUUUAAUGUCAAAUAAAGUACUGUUUUGAAAACU